AUGACUUUUAUGAAUUUGAUUAGAGUACAAGGAAUCAUCACAGAGACAGCAGAAAGAGAAAUGAUACAUUUAAUACAGAAAAAAAUAGAAACUAUAAUUCAUGAGGAAGAAGAUUCACUUACAAUAAAAUACACCCUUCUUUCAAGUCAGUUACGAAUUCCCAUUUUAAAGUCUUCAUGGCAUAUGAAUUUUAUCUCUCCCCAAUAA